rnacentral:rRNA from 1 species
CACACUUGUCAUCUUUAUAUCUCCACCUGUGANNNUUUUGNAGACCUGGAUAUCUCUCUGAAUUUGCCUGACAAAUUUGGAUUUGAGGAUUGAUUUUUUUCUUUCCUUGCAUUUUCAGGUCUAUGUUUUUCAUAUACCCCAUGUAUGUUUAUAGAAUGUAAUAAACGGGCCUUUGUGCCUAUAAAUUUAUACAACUUUCAGCAACGGAUCUCUUGGCUCUCGCAUCGAUGAAGAACGCAGCGAAAUGCGAUAAGUAAUGUGAAUUGCAGAAUUCAGUGAAUCAUCGAAUCUUUGAACGCAUCUUGCGCUCCUUGGUAUUCCGAGGAGCAUGCCUGUUUGAGUGUCAUUAAUAUAUCAAUCCUCUUCAGCUUUUUGCAUGUCGAGUGUUGGAUGUGGGGGUUUUUGCUGGACUCUCUUGAGGUCAGCUCUCCUAAAAUACAUUAGCAAAACAAUUUGUUUACCGCUCAUUGGUGUGAUAACUAUCUACGCUAUUGACAGUGAAUCACAGUUUAGCUUCUAACCGUCCAUUAAAUUGGACAACCUUUUAUCAAUGUGACCUCAAAAUCAGGUAGGAUUACCCGCUGAACUUAAGCAUAUCAAU